CAGUGGCCUGGCGCACAGGCGGACCCCCCUCCUCCUAGCCCUUGCUGUGUCAGUCGCCGUCGCGGUGGAGGAGCCCAGGGGGCUCAGGCCGCCUGGAGCAGCUAGAGCCGGCCGGUCACCUGCCUUCCCAUCAAGGGUGCGGCUAAGAAGGACGGGCAGAAGAUCUGUAAGUUGACCGUUGCCAGUGUGGCAGUAGAUAUUCGGACUAUGUUAGAAGAAACCCAGCUGAAAUUUGAGGAAAGACAGAGGGUUUGAAGGUCAUUGGGAUCACAAAUAAGAGGGAAACCACUGUUAUGUGGAGUAAAUCCAUUGGUUGUCCACUGUACAAUGCCAUUGUGUGGAUGGAUGCUCGUACAAGCUCUGUUUGCAAGAGAUUACAAAGUGAGCUAUCAGGUGGUAGAACCCACUUCAUGGAGACUUGUCGGCUGCCAAUCAGUACCUAUUUCAGUGCUCUUAUAUUAUUAUGCUUGAUGGAAAAUGUGGAUGCUGUCAAGGAUGCAGUCCAGACUGGUCUUCAGUGUGAAAUGACUACUGAAAUGGAAGGAUCUCGGCACAAACAUGCUACAUGGGCACUUCAGUCUUCAUCUUCAAAAGUAGACAAGGCUGUCAGGCAUGGAUGUAGAAGAGAUGCUUCAUUUUAGUGUUUCAAGAAACUUCAAAUCCAUUUGGUCAAAAAUAAUUUUAGAGUUGAUCUAGGAAAGCAAGGACAUGGUUGGUUUUGGUUGGUUUUUUUUCCUAGAAGGAGCAGACAUUUAUUUGAUUUAAGUGCAUGGAGUAUUGUUUGGGGAAUGGAACUACGUGGAAGCACUGUUGAGCUCAGACAGAUAUGGAGGAAGAGCUACCACCAGAUCGACCACCACCGGCAGAUCGACAGAGAUGGAGGAGCUCGUUUCGCUGGCGUCUCAAGAAUUGGACAGAAAUGGGGUAGGCUGGGGAGAAACCGGCAGGGACAGCAGAGGAGCUGAAACAUUAUAUCAUCAUUCAUAUUCACCAUAUAUAGUUCAUCAAAUGAUUUCAACAGAGAAUUGUUUUAUACACACGUACGUGCCAAUGAGAAGUUUGUCAUCGUUCAUAUGGAUGGGGGCACUACUACUGGCUAUAA